GCAUAUCAAUAAGCGGAGGAAAAGAAACUAACAAGGAUUCCCCUAGUAACUGCGAGUGAAGCGGGAAAAGCUCAAAUUUAAAAUCUGUCAGUCUUUGGCUGUCCGAGUUGUAAUCUAGAGAAGUGUUAUCCGCGUUGGACCGUGUACAAGUCUCCUGGAAUGGAGCGUCAUAGAGGGUGAGAAUCCCGUCUUUGACACGGACUGCCAGGGCUUUGUGAUGCGCUCUCAAAGAGUCGAGUUGUUUGGGAAUGCAGCUCAAAAUGGGUGGUAAAUUCCAUCUAAAGCUAAAUAUUGGCGAGAGACCGAUAGCGAACAAGUACCGUGAGGGAAAGAUGAAAAGAACUUUGGAAAGAGAGUUAAACAGUACGUGAAAUUGCUGAAAGGGAAACGCUUGAAGUCAGUCGCGUUAUCCAGGGAUCAACCUUGCUUUUGCUUGGUGUACUUUCUGGUUAAUGGGUCAGCAUCAAUUUUGACUAUUGGAAAAAGAUCAGGGGAAUGUGGCAUCUUCGGAUGUGUUAUAGCCCUUGGUUGCAUACAAUGGUUGGGAUUGAGGAACUCAGCACGCCGCAAGGCCGGGUUUUUAACCACGUACGUGCUUAGGAUGCUGGCAUAAUGGCUUUAAUCGACCCGUCUUGAAACACGGACCAAGGAGUCUAACAUACCUGCGAGUGUUUGGGUGGAAAACCCGAGCGCGUAAUGAAAGUGAAAGUUGAGAUCCCUGUCGUGGGGAGCAUCGACGCCCGGACCAGACCUUUUGUGACGGUUCCGCGGUAGAGCAUGUAUGUUGGGACCCGAAAGAUGGUGAACUAUGCCUGAAUAGGGUGAAGCCAGAGGAAACUCUGGUGGAGGCUCGUAGCGAUUCUGACGUGCAAAUCGAUCGUCAAAUUUGGGUAUAGGGGCGAAAGACUAAUCGAACCAUCUAGUAGCUGGUUCCUGC
rnacentral:rRNA from 1 species